rnacentral:misc_RNA from 1 species
AUUUAUUUUUAUACACAAACCACGUCUGUUCGUUAUUUACGAUUUCAGCACAAAACACCAACCUCAUACCUUGUUAGCCAACAAAAUGAAGAUUCCACCAGACUUCGAGCCGGACACCUUACUAAAGAAUGGCUUGGAAUCCCCUCCCCCGAAAAGACCCCGUACAAGGAAGUGUGACCUGUAUUCGGGGCCCUCUCGAUUUAGACACGUUGAUGACCACGUUAAUAAGGUGACAGCUGUCAAUCACAAAUCAUUUCGUGGUUUGUUGUGGCACCUCCUGUUCUGCGACAAGGACAUCAAGUCCGACUUAGAAAGAGUGAGGGCCAUAUACCGGUGGACGGCCGCCACCGGAGGCGUCAAGCAGUGCUUUGAAAAUAAUCCGAGUGCAAAUACUGCGGAAGAAUACAUAACCAAGUUCCAGUCGGGCAAAAUCUCAGCAUGCUCAAAUUUUGCAGUUGCUAUGCAUCUUCGCCGGACUACAUUGUAAGAUAAUCACUGGAUGCGCCAAAGGGAAAACGUUCCGGCCCGGAGACGCCUGUACUGGCGAGAGAUUCAGACAUUGCUGGAACGCUGUGUAUUUUGACGGAAACUGGUUUCUUUUAGAUGCCAAAUGGGGUGCUAUAAAUGGAAACAAUAAUACCUCCGAGUGCAGCGAGUUUUAUUUCCUGACAGACCCGGAACAGCUACAGUUCAGUCACUGGGCCGAAGAUCCAAGAUGGCAGCUGGUAGACAGACCCAUUGCCAUGAAUGAAUUUGAGAACUAUCCGUUUGUCAAGCCUCACUUUUUCAGAGUCGGGCUGAAUUUCAUAUCAAACGUUAAAUGUGUGAUAGAGACUAGGAGAGGCCAAGUAAAGUGGGAUAUAGGAGUCACCCAUCCCGCUAAAUUCAGCUAUCGUUUGGUGUCCUCCGAUACGGGAAGCGACAGAAUUGACGGAGUACUGCUGAAAAACUUCAUAUUCCAUGAAGUGCAAAAUGGAAGGGCCACUUUUGCCUUGCGCUCACCUGCUCCUGGCGAUUACUUCUUGAAAAUAUUUGCGAAAAGUUUACACGAGAGGAAUGGCCAUACGGGGUACACUCGAAUGCUGGAGGUGCUAGAAUACAGGGUUCAAAUCAGUAAGACAUGCAUUGAGGACGACCCUCUGCCGAACUGCUGGGACACAACAUGGGGACCAGGACAACGCACAGACAAGUUCUGUCUGUACCCUCUGCAGAAACGAGGGUUGAUAACUACAGACGAGAAAACAGUUGACAUUGAAAUCAACAAAACCAGACCCGUUAACAUUCUGUGUCGUCUCUGCCGCAACGGUUGGAAGGAAUCGAAAUUACAGAAAUGUAUAGAGAUCGAGGAUAAUGAUACAAAGUCCUUUUUGACUGUGACAUUACCGUACGCUGGCGAAUAUGGACUGGAAAUCUAUGGAUGUCUGCCGAGCAGGAAGACGGCUGGGUACCAUCAUGUGUGUCAAUAUCUGAUCAGCUGUUCUUGGAGGGACGAAAAUUUCACUCACGAGGACCUGGAGAAAUACCUCGAGACAACUGAAACUGAGGAUGCGGUAUUCGAAAACAAAGAAUUGGAGAUAAAGCCAGCAAUUUAUUCCGAUAGUUGCCAAUUACCUGUCCUGAAAAUAGAUGAAUCUAGCUUGCCAGAACCCGCACCUAGACCCUUGGAUCUAAUGCAAGCGUCCCCAAGCAUUGGAUGGUCUCUAGAAUUAGAAGAUCACGUAAAAUCGGUUUGUGACAGAACAUACAGAAGUUUUGAUACUCUACUGAGGGACUUAGUCUUUUCUAGAAAUAUACAGAAUGAUACUGUUAAAGCCAGGAUUCUGUUUCAAUGGUUAGCUACGAUGAAACCACAAAACUUGACUUUUGAUUCCGUGGAUAUAGGAAGUCCCGAGGAAACGCUCCGAGGCCUUCAAACCCAAAGAACAACGUAUGCAAUGGCCUACAACACCCUCUGCAAGUAUAGUGGAUUGGUUUCCAAAAUUAUAUUUGGAGUAGCAAAAGGAAUGGACUACAAGCCAGGAAACACAUUUACUCCAGGAUCAAAUCACCACACAUGGAAUGCAGUGCUGUUGAAUGGAGUUUGGGAGCUAGUCGAUACGCGAUUUGCUAAGCGACCAGUUCUAGCGGGCGCUACAGGCGGACCUAGUAUGCAAUACGAGUUUGAUGAUCACUUUUUCAUGACGAAUCCUCAAAAAUUUAUUUACACACACUUUCCUGACGAAUCCAAAUGGCAAAUGUUGGAUCCUUUAGUUACAAUGGAGACAUUCUGUAACAUGCCUGUUAUGACACCCCACUUCUUUGCUUUAGGAAUGGAUCUUCUGAGCCACAAACUGGCAUAUGUGCACAGUACCGGAAAGUCAAUCAUCGAGCUAAAGUAUCCAAAGUCCAAACGACUCCAUCUCACAUUUAGUGUAAUUUCCGACAACGGGACCGAAGAGUAUGAGGGCGUAAAACUUGUUAGAUAUGCAAUGUUAGAAGCCAAUGCUGGAAAGGUUACAUUUAGAUUACGUUUUCCUGUUAAAGGAAAAUACACAUUUAUCGUGUAUGCAAAGGAAGAUAACCCGAAUAAAUCUGACAACGUUUUUGCGCAAGUGUGUGAAUACAUAAUUGAGCAAGAGGAUGUAUUGGUACCAAAACCAUUUCCUUACCCGCCUUGCGCAUACCAAAGUUGGGGACCAGGAAUUGCUUUCUAUCAGUUCAAUUUGUUCACUGAUACGGUAUCGGCAGUCAUUAAAACUAAAAAAGGCGUUGCGAAAUUUGAAAUCAUGUCGUCAAAACCCAUGCAGUUCAGAACACGCCUUGUGCAGCAUCAAGAAACAUCGGAAUUUGAAGGCUACGUUACACAUAAAAUUCAAGGAAAUUUGACAAUGUUUACUAUAACUGCCCCAAGCCAAGGGGAAUUUGGACUGGAAAUAUAUGCUAAAGACCCAGAUACCGAGAGCAAGAAAAUGAGGCAUGUUGCGCAAUAUCUGAUCCUUUGUGAAGAGGAAAUUCACACAGUUCAGUUACCUAAGCUUCCAUCCGGAUUGCUAGGCUUACAGCCGAUGUUGGUCAAGUAUGGAGUGAGUACCAUUACCCAUUCUGACCCAGUUAUUCACACAGACACGAACUAUCUUGAGAUACGAUUUGGGACUUCACAGAACAUGAGAUUUACGACAAGUCUUUUUGAAACUGAAACACAAGCGGAAUACUCAGAAUAUGUUUUUAUUCAAUCUGAAAUGAAUGUCAUAACUCUUCUUGUAUGUCUUCCAAAAACUGGUUUCUUUACAUUUUGUGUUCAUGGCAACCUUUUAACAGACAACAGCCAGCAAAUUCCCGGACUUUUUAAUUAUCUCAUUCACUGCAAUGAAAUGAAAGUCGACGCCAUUCCUUAUCCCAAGCAAUAUGGCUUCUGGAAAGAGGGUUGUUCUAUGAUGAAACCUUUGGCAAUUAAACCGGUUCUAGAAACAACGGUUGUUCCUUUCAAAGUCCGUAUCCCACGAGCAACAAUAGUUGCAGUGGUAGUAGAUAACGAUUGGACGCCUCUCGUUCUUCACCCCGAUAGCGGAGUGUGGGAGGGUGAUAUACAUAUCGAACCAACUUCACAAGGAGGAAUUAAAGUUGUUCUUGUUGCCAGCUUUGGAGAUGAUCAGUCCAAAUAUGCAACGCUUUUGGAAUAUAAAUUAUGAAAAAUAUAUUACUUUUAGAAAACUUAAGAAGCCAUCCUCCAGAAAUAAGAAAAUGAAAAAUUACCUGACAUUAUUUCAAAUUGCUUCUACAUUGUCUAUUCUGAUAACUGGAAAGGUACUGGUAACUGUUUACUUUCAUUUUCAUGUAAAUCGAAUUCCUUUUCGACUAUUUUUGUAGGAUGAAGAAGAACGACGAAGGACAUAUUUAUCACUAUAUUUAAUAUACAUAUGUAUGUACGACUAUCCUUAUAAAAUGUGUAAAUAUUGUUGCCUGAAUAAAAAAAACGAUUUUUUUCUCUU